CAGCCAUAUAACGUUCAAACACCGGUUCUCGUACGAUCAACGAAGUUAAGCAAUGUCGAGCCAUAUCAGUUCAUAGAUGGGUGACCGCUUGGGAAAUACAAGGUACUGUA